UGGAGGAGACAGAAUAACUGGAAAAUGUGUUGAAGGCUUGUCCCUUUUUGGAAUUAUACCUUGGUAGAAAAACAUCUGCGACAAUAAAUCACAUAAUUUUGAUCAGUUUAAUAUAAUAUAACAAUAUUACUCAGUAAGCAGGUACAUAGCUCGACUGUCCACUAGCAACAGUCACUCAUACCCAUACCAAUACUUCUUGCAACUGAACAGUGGUGUCAGUGAAUGAUGUAGAAUUCAACUUUCAUAUGCUCGAUAGAAAGCCUUAUGCCAUUAAGUUAGUAUCUAAUCUAAAUAGAGCUGAUAUUCCUUACAUAAUAAUAUAUUUUUUUUAUGAUCAUUGACGUAUAGAAUAAAAUAGUUUAUAAUAAUGGUUUCGUUUUAAGAAUAAACAUAAUAGUUUAUACACAAUGCAUAGUAGUUUACGUGUAUUGAAAAGUUAAUCGACGUAGUGCUGCGUACCACAUCCAGUAUACUGCUAUUUAGCAUGAUAAAAUAAAAUUGAUAAAGACACUAAGGUCAGUCAUCGCAAAAAAAUAUUGGGUGGCAAAUCUAUACGAUAGCCUUCCGUGUCGACAAUUAACAGUGCAUCUGAUACUGACAUCGUCUACAGGUAAAAUAUAAUUACAAAUGUAAGCAGUUGUAGUAAUUAAUAAUUUUAUGAAAUUUAAUUUUUCAACUACAUUGGAACAUUAACUCAAGAUCUAAUAAAUAAAUAAAGUUUCCUCUGGAUUAUAUAGCAA